AUCGAUGAUGCAAUACUAAAGAAAAAAUUUUUUUGGUUAUCUUAUAAAAUGGUAUAGUUUCAUAUUGGAUCCCUUUAGUACAUCUCAACUCAACAAGAUAAUUAAGAAGAGUCGUAGAACUAUAUGAGAUAUGGUAUGGUCCAUGAUUGACUUUACUGAUUUUUUUUUUUUUAGGGACAUACUUUAUUUCUAUAGAAUUGGGUUCUC
rnacentral:lncRNA from 1 species